rnacentral:rRNA from 1 species
UACGGGGGGGGCAAGCGUUGUUCGGAAUUACUGGGCGUAAAGGGCUCGCAGGCGGCCAACUAAGUCGGAUGUGAAAUCCCCAGGCUUAACCUGGGAACUGCAUCCGAUACUGGAUGGCUUGAGUCCGGGAGAGGGAUGCGGAAUUCCAGGUGUAGCGGUGAAAUGCGUAGAUAUCUGGAGGAACACCAAUGGCGAAGGCAGCUCGCUGGGACGGUACUGACGCUGAGGCGCGAAAGCGUGGGGAGCAAACAGG